AACGAACGCUGGCGGCAUGCCUAACACAUGCAAGUCGAACGAGACCUUCGGGUCUAGUGGCGCACGGGUGCGUAACGCGUGGGAAUCUGCCCUUGGGUUCGGGAUAACAGUUGGAAACGACUGCUAAUACCGGAUGAUGACUUCGGUCCAAAGAUUUAUCGCCCAGGGAUGAGCCCGCGUCGGAUUAGCUAGUUGGUAGGGUAAAAGCCUACCAAGGCGACGAUCCGUAGCUGGUCUGAGAGGAUGAUCAGCCACACUGGGACUGAGACACGGCCCAGACUCCUACGGGAGGCAGCAGUGGGGAAUAUUGGACAAUGGGCGAAAGCCUGAUCCAGCAAUGCCGCGUGAGUGAUGAAGGCCUUAGGGUUGUAAAGCUCUUUUACCCGGGAAGAUAAUGACUGUACCGGGAGAAUAAGCCCCGGCUAACUCCGUGCCAGCAGCCGCCGUAACAC
rnacentral:rRNA from 1 species